UGCCUCUGGCGACAGAGGCAUGUAGUCUAGACGUACCCUUAAUUAGCCCAUUUGACCAUAGUUUGAAUUUACAUCAGAGAAAAACUCACCUGUGAAACAUGUAGCAGCCAUGUGAGAAGCACAAAGAGGCUAGAAUUUUUGCAGUGCAUUUUAUCAAUCAAGCCUUUGGAAACUGAGUUCUAGUCUGGGAUAAUACUAACAGAAAUUGCAGACCCUGAAAAAGUCAGAAACUCUUUUACAGCAUUUUCAUUACAUCUACUUAUUUCCUGUUCCUGAUGUAACAGAUUUGUCUUUGGGGUGGGCAGGGAAUAAUUUUGCUGUGUUAGUCAGACAUUUACAGUCUUUCAUUAUUCAAACAAAGAGCACAGGGUUUCAUUUGAUGUUCAACCCUUAUCAGAUGCCUGUUGAGUAUGAGUGAUCAUUCACAACAUUAUUUUCCCCAAACCACACAAAGGCACUUGUACUCAACAUUUUGAAAAUUAUGUCUGAUUAAAAUAAUGGGUUCUAGUGGACAGCAUUUGCAACCUUAAUGAUAGUUAUUGAUGGCUAUUAGCACCCUUAAUGAUGGCUAUUAGCACCCAUUUGAAUGUCUCAUUACAGUUAAAUAGGAGCUGGCUUUCUGCUUGAUUGAAACGUAGUGGAUAAAUGUACCAGGAAUUUGCAGAUGCCAACAAAAUUAAGUAGCUUCUCUUCCAGCAUUGUCCUUCCAUCUUUACACAUGUUCUGUAGCCAUAAGUCUUAACCUAAAUUUACUGCUCUGUGUUAAUUUUAUAUUCUCCUGUCAGUCUCUGUGGACUUUCCAACAUAUCACAAUAUCUUUGUUCUGUGACUUUUUGUAAAUGUCAAAUUAGAUGUACUGGUUGUGAUGCUUUGCCCGUUAGUCUUUGCUCACAUGUGUUGAGUCUGUACAUCAAAAAAUACACAGAUGUUAAGACAGAAGAGGAAAUAGAAUGUCAGAAGGAUAUUGGGCCAAAAAUAGUCAAACAGCAGUCAAGGCUAAUUCAGGAUUGCAUCAUUUCAAGAAGACAAAACAAUUCCCGAUUGUACUUGGACGAGAAAAGGGAGACAGAAGAUUUGGCAUUAACUUUGAACUUUGAUUCUGAAUGAGAUGAUACCCAUGUGUUAGACACCUGAGUAUCAAGUAACAUGUUCCAGAUACCCAAUGGUAUGUGAAUGGCAUAUACUAAUAAUUGGAGAAGACUGGAAGUCCACAAAAAGAUCUUCUGGUCUCCCCCAGGCAAGGCCCAGAGCUGAGAUAACCACCCCCCUUCUCCCUAAGAGCAAUGCAGACGCUGAAUCACUUCAGCCCUGGGAGAAAUGCAGUUCAAGGGCACAGUGUCCAGGAAACCAACCUCGAGAUGGUAUCAAAACCCCAAAUAGAUCUCUUUGUCACUGUGUGAGAGUUUCACACAUUGAAAGCUCAUUCAGAUACCAGUUUAAGUGGCAUUGUAUCAUAUUGCUAGAGUUCAUGCUUAAACUUUGAUCCUGCCACAGAUUCUGUUUUUUAAAUGCUCUGUACAAAUAUAUCACAUUAAAU